GUCGAACGCUGGCGGCGUGCUUAACACAUGCAAGUCGAACGGAAAGGCCCAGCUUGUGCCUGGUGCCCGCGUCGCGAACGGGUGUGUUACACGUGAGUCACCUGCCCUUGACUUUGGGAUAACUUCAGGAAACUGGGGCUACUACAGGAGAGGUGCUCCUGAUGCAUGGUGGGGGUUGGAAAGUUUCGGCGGAUGUGGAUGGACUCGCGGCUUAUCAGCUUGUGGGUGGGGUAGUUGCCUACCAACGCUUUGGCUGGUAGCCGGCCUGAGAGGGUGACCAGCCACAUUGGGACUGAGAUACGGCCCAGUCGCCUACGGUAGACAGCAGUCGAGAAUCUUACACAAUGGGCCGAAGCCUGAGGCAGCAACGCCGCGAGCGGGAUGCACUCCUACGGGUUGGAAACCGCUUUCGCCUGUGACGUAGCGGGAGUGACGUUAAUGUGUAAAGAAGCACCGGCUAACUACGUG
rnacentral:rRNA from 1 species